GGGGCUGACAUGGAUUUGACAGCAGGAUGACAUGUUGCGUAAGCACGCAGAGAGUUGCAGGCCGCUCUCUUUAAUCCAUGACCUUCAAAGAUUAUCUGGCGAAACUCGUUACGCUCUCGCUGCUUAGUCGAAGUAUAGUAGAUUAACAUUAUCGCGGCACAAGGUGCUGCGACGGGACAUCACUCAGAGACUAACGCUCCCAAGUGCUCUGGUUCAGUGGUGCAGCUAAAUGGGAGAUAGCUGUCGGUGGCCUCGCGCCGUUGGUGAAGCUUUUAGGGGAUAAGGCAUUGGUCGGUGGCUCAGGUCUUGCCAAUGCUCGAAAACCAAAGUCUGAGAUAAGCGUGUAGAAAGCGCAGGAUGUACCUGUUUGGACGAGGGUUCAAUUCCCUCCAGCUCCACA
rnacentral:tmRNA from 1 species